CUUAAAGGAAAAGUCAACAAAAUAUACUCCCCCAACACUACACGUAUCUAUUCUCCAAAAGCACUGCUACUGUACUAUUGUCUCUCUCUAAAUUCUUCAAACUCCCACACCCAAUUCGCAAAUUCUCUCUGACCCUUCCUCGCAAAAUUGGUAAUCUAGUUAUUGCCCAUCUCUCUCUCUCGCUCGCUCGCUGUUGUACCAGCAACAACCGCUGUCAUCUCUGCUAUCAUGCUGUCUCCGUCGCCGCCGCUCCAGGCGGUCAGCUCCUCCAUCGGCAGCGCCGCUUCUUCAACCGGUAAGUUUUCCCCCUCCCCUUUCAACUCUAAGGGUUUUAAAGUAUUUUAAUUGGUUCUCACAAGGCUUAAUUUGAAUUAGUUCAAAGGGCCAAUUACUAGGCUAAAUUCCAAGAAACUACCUCUGCGGAGGUAGUAUCCGCCAUUUGUUCCCGCAAAAAAAAAGUUUCCAGAGAGGGGAAAGAGAGGGGAAAGAUGCGAGAGGUUGUCGUGUGUUUACUUAUAGACGCGUCUUCCUCUCGCGUCUCUAAAAUGAAACACGCGUGACGCAUUAGCGUCUCUAAACAUACACACAACAAGAUCAAGGCAAGCAUUAUUUUCUCCAUUCAAGGAUGUAUGUGAAGCUGGCGGCUGUGCAACUUCCAAGCGAGAGAGAGGGCCGGUUCCAAUAAAUGUGUUAUUUCCCAAGAAAUUGGAAUUAUCUUCAUCCAUUAAUUCGGCUGAGCAUUUUAUGAAGCCCACCGCCUCAUUCCCAUGCGCAUUCACUACAUGACUGUCAUUCCCACAAUUCAUAGAACAAGACUUGAUAUUCUCGGCGUCAUCAUUAAAUUCCAGCAUGAUCAUUAAAUUCCACCCCCUUCAUCUGUAUCAACCUCUUCAAUCUCCUCCAUCAUUCUCUGCAAAAAAGCUUUCUUCAUCUCCUCCACUUCCUCUAAGGUAUGUAUAGCCAUUUCCUUCGACGCAGCAGACCCGUUUUCCAUACCAGAACUUUCAUCUUCAUCGAACAUAGCAGUAUCUUCAUCACCCUGUCUACACUCGGCGGCCAGAGGCUUUGCCGUAGGAUCUGGCAGACGUCUUCGCGACGGGUCCGCCAUUGACGGAAGAGGGCAGAAGCUUCGAAAUUUCAUUCAUUGAAACACGCAUGAGCAAAUCGCGUGUUUAAUAUGGAUACACGCGUGCGCUUCUCGCGUCUUUCCCCUCUCUGAAAACUUUUUUUUUGCGGGAACAAAUGGCGGAUACUACCUCCCCGGAGGUAGUUUCUUGGAAUUUAGCCCCAAUUACUACGGCAGAUUAAAAAUCGGGUCUUGGACAAGUCCUCACAAAGGGUUCAAAAUGUUGUAUAAAAUUCAGUGAGUGAACUAUCGUGAGAGUACAAUUAUGCCAUGAAGAAAGAACGUGGGACUUGAGUAUACCUCUAGUUUGAAGGAAUAAAUUUGUGGAGCAAAAAUCUGGAAACUCCCGGCUACCCGACUCCUUUUGCUAUCUCAGAAUUUGGAGGAAAGGUAAAAAUUUGUGGAACUGUUUGGGUGUAUAUAUUCACAUAUAAAUUGUAGAUUUGAAACUGAUAUGGAGUAGUUGAAAUAUAUAUGGGCUACACGUCUUUUUCAGGGUGGUGGAGAGAUUUGAGAUUAACUAUCGUGGAUUUGAUAUUAAAGAGGGAUAGAUAUCCUUAGAUUAAAAUUAAGAGACUAAUUUUGGGCUCAUAACAAGCGGGUUUCUAAUUGAUAGUAAAAGAAUAAUUGUUUGGCCCAAAAGUGAAAUACUUCUCUCGACAAAAAAUAAAGGCGAAAAAAUUUUCAAGUGCACAAAUGACGGUCCUUUCAAGAACAUAAUAAAAAGGUAGAAAAAGUCUGGGUGUUACAAUGUCUCCGGUCGAGGAAUGCCACCGCCGCUGCUGUUCGCCCAGGUCCAGCCACUGCUGGCUCAUCGUCUAUCCACCGCUCUCUCUCUCUCGCUGCCUCUACACACUCUUUCUCUUCUCUGAUAUCUUUCAAUUUGCAAACCGUGGGAGGUGUGAAUUGUGCAUAUAAAUACCACAACUUGUAUUUUGGGAUUUGAUCAGGAGAUUUGUUCCUAUUUUUCAGCGAUGCAGAUCGUGGCAGAUUUCUUUGUAUCAGAUUUGAGUGGAAGAAAGAGGAGCGCAACGGAGUCCAAAGUCCGUGAAUGGGCAGCGAGAGAGAGUUUGAGAGAAAGAGAGAAAGAAGAGAGUGAGAUGGAGAAGGAGGGUGGCUGGCGCUCACCGACGAUGGCGAGAAGGGGGCGGCGGUAAUCGCUCCGAGACUCCACUGAUUUGAGAAUGAGGAGGGAGGCGGAAUUGAGAGAGUGAAAUUGAAUUGGGGAAGAAGAAGUUGCUUUGGGAUAGGAGAAUGCAGGCGACGAGUUCUUUCUUGAAUUAGGAACAAAUUGAGAGAGAAAUAGGAGACGGCAGCGGCAUCGAAUUGUCACGGAGAGAGAGCGAACAACGACGAUGGUUUGUGUGUGGGCGACGAACGCCCCCGUGUGGAAGAGCUGCUCGACGGAGAGCUGUAGAAGAGUGAGCAGAGAGAGAGAUGACAGAGUGUGUUUGAUUUGAGAAGAGGAUUUCAAUUCCAUUCUGGAAUUUCACGUAAGGCCUACUGUUUUGAUAAAGGAGAUGGCUUUGAGUCAAUCUGGUUUGGGCCAAAUUAAUUGAAUGGAAGAUUGGAUUGGGUCGAAGUGGGUGACCUCACGCACGCUUUUCGAGAACGGAAUAAAAAACAAGUUAAGGCUUUA